rnacentral:lncRNA from 1 species
UUCUGCUUAGAACAUGUACGGUUUAUUUUUCCCUCUUUUUCCGCCGGUCAUUACCCAGAACGAGAAAGCAAACAUGUUAGUGGUUGGAGAAAAGACCUAUAAACUUGGUGUAAAGUAGCCAUUAUAUUAGGAAAAUGAUUUUAUUGGUUGAAUUAGCUAGUCGUCCUCCUAAAAUUCUAGUUAUAAAUACACCAUAAAAUGUGUAAGUAAAAAACUGUUUUUGUAAGUUUAUUGUGACGGUUGGGUAGCAGAUAAUUUCUUUCUUCGUCUAAAAGUUAUACAGUACAAUUGGGUAAAUUUUUUAUUUACUUUUAAAAUUAUACUUGAAGAAAUUGAUAUUUUUAUUUAAUAAUCGUAUGCUCAGAUUAGUUUGCGUGCAUCUAAAUUAAAUUUUCUUAUAUAAUUCUUGACUCUACCAUUGAUUGUGGUACUGCUGGGUUUAACAAUGAUGAAAUAUUUGAAUCAUUCUAAAAGGUUUUUAAGUCAAGUUAGUUCCUAACAAUAGAUAAUUUAGUCGUGGUCCAAAUUUUAUGGAACUUAUGUAAUUUUUGUUCCUCUUUUCAACAUUUUGGUUAUGGAAAAUUAGCUUUCUUAAUUCAAGAUUAAUCUUUAUGUUUUUCAGAUUAUUCAAGAAUGGUUUGGUGCAAUAAUUAUUGGUGCAGUUAUUGUGCAAAAUUCAUCCAACCCAACUAUUAUGGUGACAAAAUGUAAGCUUUAUUUUCUUAAGAUUUUGUUUUUCCUUAUGAAUUCAACUCUUUGUAAUUCAUGAUUAAUUCUAAUUACUUUUUCUUCUCUAAACAUUGUGGAUGUUGUAGUUUAUGUGGGAAAGUCCUUGAUGAAGUCCUUGUGGCUCAACAGGUUUGCCUUUGACACAAAUUAUUGGUUUUGGUUGAUUUUAUGUUCUUUGUGUUUUCAAAUUUGUAGUAAUUGCAAUUGUUCUUGUUGGAAAUAUUUAUUGGGAUGGCGUCACUCAUAAUGGGGAGCUAAUUAUCCCAUUAGCCUAUUAAUUUGUUCUCCUUCUAGACCCUAGCCACACCAUUAUGACGGGUGUUUGAAGAAAGAUGAUAUUCUACAUUAAUUGACGGCCACACAAGUUUUUAUUUUAUUGGAUACGGUGGAUGAGGUGCAAAAGGACAGAUGGCAUUACCAAGAACCAGAUAUGGUGUCCCUGGACCUCGGCGCGGUGGAGAUUUUCUAUUUAGUUGCAGUUAAUAGAACAGCCAUUAUCUCUCGAUAUAUAUUAGUUUGAACGGGUAAAAGCACACAAAAAAAAUUACCAGUAACAUUUCUAAUCAUCACGGUAGCAACACUCAUACCUUGAUUAGCUCUUGAAUUUAAAUUUAUCAACAAGGCCGGGCUGGGUCAACUCGAAACCGGCCUAUGCUUUUAACCGGUUCGUGAGUCGAUUCAGUUCUGAAUCUGUUUUAAUGGGCCGGUCCGAUAUAAUAUUUUUUUAAGAAAUAACUCGAGACUGACCCAUUACACAGACCGAUCCAAUCCGGGUCAAACCGGUCAAAACCUAAAAAAAAAAAAAAAAGUUUUUUCUCCAAUAUACACUAUAUAUAUCCACCUAUAUAUAUUUUAAAUAGGUUAAACAAUAUACACACAAUAUAUAUACACUAUAUAUAUAUAGUAUAUACUACAUUAGAAUUUAAAAAACAUAUACACAUAUACACAAUUACACAUGUAAUUAUGUAUACGACUAUACGUUAUAUAUACAACUUUAGACUUUAGAAUCUAUAGAAAAUAUAUGCACAUAUAUACGUACCAUUCAAUAUAUGUACUACUUUAAAUAAAAUAUCUACUGCAAUAUAUAUACUACAAUACAUGCGCACACACACACACACACAUACUAUAUAUAUAUAUAUAUAUAUAUAUAUAGUUAUACUAGAUUAGUGUACGUGUUUUGCACGUGUGUCUAACGUCAAUCAAUAAAAUAUACAUAAGAAUUAAGAACAAUAUAAUUAGAAAGUAGCAAUAUAUUAACGUUAAAAAUGAGAUAUUUAUUUAAAUUAUAUAAAUAAAUAUUUUAUCUCAAAUAUAUUAUUAUGUGAUGUAUCUCGCUUCAAUGUUUAUUCUAAACAAAAAGAACAAAGUUAAUUUGAAUUUCAUGCUACUAAAACUAUUCUCAAACCUCAUUAUUCCUUUCAUAGGAGACACCUUCAAGAACGUCAAAUCACUUCAAACUCCAAAUCUCUUUGCCUCAAUCAAAAUAAAAUCAUUAAAUUCAAUCUUUACACACAAAAUAAAAUCAUUAAAUUCAAUCUUUACACACAAAUUUUUUUUCAAAGUCGUCCGACACUCAUCUACCACCUGUAAACAAUAACAAAAUAAUACUAUAACAGAGAUAUCAAAAUAAUACAACUAAACAUAACCUUUACAUAAAAAAUUCUUCAAAUCCGACCAACAUAUAUCUAUCACAUGUAAAGUGCAAUAAAAUAAUACGAUAAAAAUGAUAUCAAAAUAAUACAAUUAAACUUAAAUUUUACACACAAAAAUUUUUCAAAGCCGAUCGAGAUUCAUCUACGAACUCUAAACUACUACAAAAUAAUAAACUAAUAGAGGCAUUACGAUAAUACAAUUAAACCUAACAUUUACCUAAGAAAAAUUUUCAAAGCUGACCCAUAUUCAUCUAGCCUCUGUAAAUUAAAAUAAAACAAUAAGAUAAUAAAGAUAUCAAAACAAUACAAUUAAACCUAACCUUGACACAAGAAAUUUUUCAAAGUCAAUCGACAUUCAUCUACGACUAGUAAACUAUAAAAAAAUAUAUAAUAGUGAAAAAAAACUUUGAUUUUGAUCUGACUAAGUCUUGUCUGAGAGAAAAUUUUGAUCCUAAAGAAUGAUUUUGAAUGAAAACAAAGAAGAUAUAUAUAUAUAUACACAUGUUGAAUUCUAUUAUGUUAACAAAAAUAGUGAAGAAGUUGAGGGUUAGAAAUCAAGUAUACACCAAUCUAGACAUGCAAUCGAAUCAAGUUAGAUGAGCAUCAAUCAUAUUCUCCCAAUAGGAAAAUCGAUUUGUUCUCUAGUUUAACGUACAUCUCAAUAUUUAUAAAAGCAUUUUCUUAACAGAGACUUAUUUUAGGAGUAUUUUUCUAAUUGAAUAGUAGAAAAAAUAUUAAUUAAUUAUCCUACCAUAUAUUUUAGGAGUUUCAUAUAUUUUUGGAAGUCUAGUAGAAAUAAAAAUAUUAAUUAAUUCUCCUACCAUAUAUUUUAGGAGUCCCAUAUAUUUUAGAAGUCUAGUUAAUAUAAUAAAAAAUAAUUAAAUAAUAAAUUAAAAAAUAGUGAAAAGACAGUUUUAUCUAAAGAAGAGUCUUUUAACAAAGGGUAAAAAUUUAAAUCACGUUUCUAUAGAUAGAUUAUAGAUUAUAGAUAUUUAUAAAACCUAAAAGAGUUUGAUUUAGAACUUCUAUAAGAUUUGUAUUACACAUUUUUUUUUUGUAUUAAAUUAGGAUAACACUGAGUUUUCUCAAAAAGAAGGCAAUUUGUAAGGGCAAAAUAAACGGUUUUUAAAGUUUCUUAUUUUCCAAAAAUAAUGCAAGUUUUCAUUAAUUACUUCUUUAUUUUUCGAAAAUAACAAUCCUCAAAAAUAAGUGCAUUUUGUUAGGACAAACCACACAGUUUUAAAAGUUUUUCUAUUUUCCAAAAAUAAGUCAAAUUUGUAUUAAUUACUUGUUAGAUUUAAUGACGUGAGGCGGGAGAAUGAGGUAGGAGUGACGCUAGAAGCACAGGAGGUAGGGAAGAGGGAUAAGUUCAAGUAUCUCGGGUCCGUGAUCCAGAGUAACGGUGAGAUUGACGAGGAUGUCUCGCACCGUAUUGGGGCGGGAUGGAUGAAGUGGAAACUCGCAUCGGGGGUGCUGUGUGAUAAGAAGGUGCCGCCCAAGCUUAAAGGCAAAUUCUAUAGGGUGGUAGUCCGUCCGGCCUUGCUGUAUGGAGCGGAGUGUUGGCCAGUUAAGAACUCCCACAUCCAAAAAAUGAAGGUGGCAGAAAUGCGGAUGUUGCGCUGGAUGUGUGGACUGACCCGAGGGGAUAGAGUUCGGAAUGAGACUAUCCGGGAGAAGGUUGGUGUGACUUCAGUGGAGUGUAAGAUGCGGGAAGCACGAUUGAGAUGGUUCGGACACGUGAAGAGGAGGGGCAUGGAUGCCCCGGUCCGUAGGUGUGAGAGGCUAGCGUUGGAUGGUUUUAGACGGGGUAGGGGUAGACCGAAGAAGUACUGGGGUGAGGUGAUUAGGCGGGACAUGGAACAGUUACAGCUCACCGAGGACAUGACCCUAGAUAGGAAGGUCUGGAAGACGCGAAUUACGGCAGAGGAUUAGGGCCAGUGCGGGUCGCUAGUGCAGGGAAUUAAUUGGUGGGGGUGUAUGCCUGUUAUGAUUCUGUAUUCAGUGUUUCGUGUUCCGUGUUCCAUGUUUAUUACGAAUAUGUGUGCUUUCCUCUGCUUUAUAUUCCUGCANNNNNNNNNNNNNNNNNNNNNNNNNNNNNNNNNNNNNNNNNNNNNNNNNNNNNNNNNNNNNNNNNNNNNNNNNNNNNNNNNNNNNNNNNNNNNNNNNNNNNNNNNNNNNNNNNNNNNNNNNNNNNNNNNNNNNCCCCAGACCCCACUAAGUGGGAAUACACUGGGUUUGUUGUUGUUGUUUGUAUUUGAAAAAUAAUACGAUCAUCUGUUUUUCCAAAAAAAUAAAAAAAAAUACUCCUAAUAUUAAUUUCUAUUUGAGGUUUUUUCUAAUUUAUAGUAGUAGUUUUCUAUCCUAAUUUAGUUUUUCCUUUUCUAAUUUAGCAACACCAAAACAUUGAUAAGUCUCUUUCCUACAUAUUUUAGAAGUCAAGUUAAUAUUAUAAAUAUAAUAAUAUAAUAAUUCUAGAAAAUAAGCGAAAAGACGAUUUUGUCUAUUGCGGAGAUUUUUAAUGAAGGGCAAAAAGUUUAAAUCACUUUUCUAAGGGUCUUCACACUUUUAAUAUAUUUUAUAUUAGAUUAGAUUUAGAUUAUAGAUACUACUUUAUCAAACAUAUACACAGGUAUACGUUAAAUAUAUACUACUUUAGAGUCUAUAGAAAAUAUAUAUACAUAUAUACGUACCAUGCAAUAUAUGUAAUACUUUAAAUAAAAUAUAUACUACAAUAUACACACACACACUAUAUAUAUAGUUAUAUACUACUUUAUAAAAUAUAUACACAUAUAUACGUUAAAUAUAUACUACUUUAGAGUCUAUAAAAAAUAUAUACACAUAUAUACGUACCAUACAAUAUAUGUACUACUUUAAAAAAUAUGCUACUUAAUAUAAUAAAUUAAUAAUACUUGAGGUUUUGAACUUAAAAGAAAUUUAUUUUUUCAUUAUGUGUAUAUAUGAUUAUAUGUUGGUUAUGUUUAAUUGUCUAUUACUUAGUCUAAAGCUUGAUAGUAAAUUAGUAAUACAUUAAAACUAAGUAUUUAAUUUAAACUAGAAAUUCAAUUUAAAUGAAAAAAAUUACAAAGUAAGGAGUGAAUGAAUGUUAUAUUUUAUUGAUAGUAAAAAUGAUCCAAAAUUUAUAAUGUACAUGAAUGAAAAAUCUACAAAUUUUGCAUCAUUUUUCCAACUCAUCCAUUUAAUAUUAACGGAAACUGGCAUAGGAUAGUCAAAAUCACUAGGGGCAAAAUCAUGCAUUGGACUUGAUUGUGUUGAGUUCUCCCUUGAAGUCGUAAUUUCUUCAAGAUUUUGUUCGUCUUUUGGCUCCACCUCUAUUCCUUGAUUUCUUCGUCCCGCUCUAAUCCAAUCUCUAAGGCAAACUAGAACAUUCAUAGCAUUGUUUUCCAAUGAGUGUCGGUUGUCUCCAAGCUGUUGUCGUCCCUGACUAAAAGCGUUCUCCGAUGCAAUGAUUGACAUUGGAACAUUCAAUAUAUCUCUAACUAAUCUUGAAAGCAUAGGAUAUUGUCUUUCGUUAUUCUUCAACCAAUCCAACGCGUUGAUCCGUCGUCUACAAUCCUCUAUCGGCAUUUGAAGAUAAUACUUAAGCUCUUCCCGAGAAGUCGUUGUGUAAGUUUCCGCCUCAAUACUGUUUCAAACAUUUAAAUCAUAAAAGUGAUCAGGAAAAUCACUAUGUGCCAGCCUUUUAGAAGAUGAUGGCUCCUCGGGAGGAUGAGGAGCGACAGUUGAAGUAAUAUUUGUCGGUACAGCUAAAGCAAGUAAAUCAGCAUAAUGGUUAUAUAAUUUUUCUAUGUAAAUGUUCGCAUCACUCAUAGCUGUAUACAAAUCUGGUUGUUUUUGUUCUUCAUCUUUAGAUUCAGGUUCAAUAUUUAUCUCUAAGUUAGAAUAAAUAAGAGAACUAAAGUGGCACAUAGUAUUAUAUUUCAUGCAUGGAUUUAGUAUAGCACCAACCAAGUAAAUAGGGGGAAUAGAAAAAAAAAAUAUUUUUUAAAUUUAACAAUCAUAGCACCAUCAACUUCUUUAUUCUUAUAUUCUUUGAGCAGAGCAGAAAUAUCGGCUAUAUAUGCUAAAAUAUUACAAACAGUAGAAUGAUAAGCACCUGAAAAUUCAACCUUAGCUAUAUAAAAUUUUCUCAAAAACUUAACAAGAUCAUUAAUUACAGCCCAAUCAGAAUCAUGUAGCAUACAUUUAGCCGAAUCAGCAAAUGAACCACAAUAUUGGUUAAAAGUUAGUGUAAUAGAAACUCUAUAAGCAUGACAAGAUUUUAAAUAAUCAUACGUAGCAUUACAUCUAGUAUCACAUUCUUCAGGCAUCAAUAUCGGUCUAAGUCCAUUUUGUUUACAUUUAACUUUAAAUUAUCUAAUUCUUUUUUUUUCGAUUAUUUCCUUGAAUAAAGUCAACAACAAGCUGGAUUUUUUUAAUAUAAAACUCAAAAAAUUCAAGAACAUCUCUUACAAUUAAAUUAUAUAUAUGACAAGCACACUUAACAUGAAAUAUUUCAGGUAACGGCGGAGAGAGAUUAGCUUUUAACUUUUUAAUUGCAGUCUUGUUGUUAGAAGCAUUAUCAAAAGCAAUACAUAAGACUUUCCUUUCAAUACCAUAAAAUUCUACAACUUUACUAAUCGAUUCAGCAAUAAAUUCUCUAGUAUGUCUACGAUCUUCAUCAUACAAAAAAGCUAGAAUACGUUUUUGGAUAACAAAAGUAUUAUCUAUACAGUGACAAGUAAUAGUUAAAUAAUUAUUUUUAUUAACAGCACGACCAAGAUCAGAAGAUAGAGUCAUUCUACAUUGAAUAUUUUUUAACAAUGUAGAUAAAUAAUAAACAUAUUGUGAAUGAAGUCUAAGAAUAUCGAUCCGACAAGUACUUCUAGGAAUACCAUUAAAAAUAAAAUUAUAAAUUACUUGAAUAUAAUGAAUAAAAGCAUCCGAAGAAGGAAAAGUGAAAGACAAACAACCCACAACUACCAUUUUUGUUAUUUCUUCCCGGUCCCUUAAUUUAUUAUAAUUCUUAAUUAACUGAUCGGUUGUUGGGUCCAUUCUAGUUUGUGUUGGCGGUUGUUGGGUCCAUUCUAGUUCGUGUUGGCCCACCAACAGCCUCACCACCUUUUGUAAUAAAUAACUCUCUUUGGUGAUUCUCUCUUAUAUGUCUCAUUAACGUACCCGUACCCCCUUAAUUGUCUCCUCUUUUAUGCUCAUAUACUUGUUGACAAAUAUUGCAUUGCACCUUAGUUUUUCCUUCUAUAUGUGUAAAAUAUUUUCAUACAAUGCUAGUUUUUUUGUAUGAAUUUUAGGGAAAAGGGGAGGACGGGGAGAAAGAUUAACCAAUUCAGAUCUAACAUUAGCAUUUUCUACUGCGGGUGUCUCACCAAUAUUUUCAUCAUCUUCAUCUAAAUUAACAGCAUCUACUUCAUUUUCUACUUCUAUACCAUAAUGUUCCUGAGCUUCUAAAUAAUCCACAUCGUGAGCACCUACACCUACUUCUUCCUCAAAAGGUUAACUAAGCGGUACCUGAAGCAUACGGGUAUAUCUACUACUUGAACUACCUCUACCGCCACUAAUUCGCUUUUUACUACCACUUCUGAAACAAAAUUUUUUGACACUUUUAUCGAGGUUUCUUAAUUUAUCCAUAAUAUAAAUCAGACUAAAAGAAUUCAAAAUAAACAAAAAUAAUAAAAUAAAUAUUCAACAAUUAAUAUACUAAUUAAAAAUUAAAAGUAAGUGAUUAAACGAUAAUACCAAAUUUUGGAAGUAUCCGAAAGUUGCGACUUUAGAAAACUUCCACUCGUAUUUAUAAUCGCAAAAUUAAAAAAUAAAAUUGAGCACUUUAAGAGAUAUAUAGAAUAUUUGAGAGAGAAUAAGAUUUGAGAGAAUGAAAAUUGUGUGGAAAAUAAUUUGAAAGUGUAGGGUAUUUAUAGGAAAUUUUUUGGAUUUAAAAAAAUAUUUUAGAUUAAUUUUUUUAAAAAAAAAAUAGGCCAAAUAGCCGUUUGAGGCUCCAAACGGCUAUAUAGCCAUUGGGCCCAACGGUAUUUUGGCCCAAACCUCUAUCCAGCAAUUCAAAUAUAUAUAUAUAUAUAAUUGGGUCGGGUCAGGGCAGGCAACCGACGGGCCUGGUUCGAGUCGGAUCAACUGAGCCCAAAAUAAAAAAUGGCCCAGCCCGAGACUGUUAGCCCGUUUGUCCGUGGGCUCACCGGGUUGAGUCAAAUCGGGUUGGGUCAACCUGACCCAUUUGACAGGCUUACUCUUGAUGCACCGUCUGUGUUUUAUAAAAUCCAUUUUCCUCUAAGAAAUUCCCAACAUACUCUUCUAAAAUAUAGUCUGGGGAUGUAGCUCUCCAACUCACUAACCAUUCAUGCAAAUCAGAAGACAAUCUUUUCAUCUUAGAAAAUCUGUACACCAAUAAAUUGUGUGGAGUUGUUGAAACCUGACAAGGAGAUAUUGUUAGAGUUGUGACCCGAAUUUUAUUGAUCCGGCCCAGAAAGUUUCGCAGUGCGACCCAUGUUGAUGAUUUUCAAUGGGUUCUGUGGUGGUAACGUAAGGAUUGGGCCGAUAAGCCCAAUAUGAACCUUUAUGUUUUGGGGCCUAGGACUUAUUUGUAUGCACUUAUUAUAUAAGUGCAUUUAGUGGGUUGUUUUGGGUAUUCAAAAAAUUCAGCCUUCUCCACAUUGUACUCUCUCUCCAUUAUAAUGAAACCUUCUUUGCGUCUGUCCGUGGUUUUUUUGCAAGGGUUUUCACGUAAAUUUAUAUGUUAUUUUUCUUUUAUUUUACUUGUGGUUUGCUUACUCUGUCCAACUCAUAACAAACUGGUAUCAGAGCCUGUUCGAUUAUUUUCUCGAGGAAGACAACCAUGAAGUAUGAUAUUCCAUUGUUGGAUCGCAACACUAGAUUUUUUUUACGGCAGGUUUAGAUGCGGGUUGUGCUCAUGCAAAUAGAUUUGGAUGAUGCUCUAUUAGGGUUUUGUAAGAUGCCCUCAUCGUGGAUGGAUGAGAACAAAUGACGUAAGGAUUGGAAGGCUCUAUCUCAGAUCCACCUUCAUCUAUCCAAUCAGAUUCUACAGAAUAUUUUGAAGGAGACCACUGCCGCUGCGUUUUGGUUGAAAUUGGAAUCACUGUGUAUGACGAAGAGCCUAACAAGUAAGUUGCAUCUCAAACAAUGACUUUAUUCCCAUCGCAUGUCUAAGGAUGCGUCCUUGGAGGAUCACUUAUCUGUAUUUAAGAAAAUCAUCUCUGAUUUAGAGAUUCUGGAGGUUAAGUACGAUGAGGAAGAUCUAGGGUUGAUUUUGUUGUGUUUACUGCCUGCAUCAUACACGACCUUUAGAGAUACGAUUUGAUAUAGUCGUGAUACCCUGACCAUAGAUGAAGUCUAUGAUGCGUUGUUCUCUAAGGAGAAGAUGAAUCAUCUUAUGAAUAGGUCAGAGACUCAAGAAAAUGGUCUCAUUAUUUGAGAAAAGAAUCAUGAGAGAAACUUUGGGGUGAUGAUAGAAAUAGAUCAAAAUCUAGAAAUAGAAACAAAGCCUGUAAUUAUUGCAAGAAAAAGGGCCACAUCAAAUCUGAGUGUUGGAAGUUACAAAAUAGAGAGAAAAGAGAAGCUCCAAAACCGAAGGGAAACCAACUAGAGAAGUUCGGUGAAGCUAGUUUUAUUGAAGAUGGCGGCAGUGAUAGAGAACUCUUGGUUAUUUCUGAUGGUAACUCCAAACCUUGUGAGGAUUGGAUUCUUGAUUCAGUUUGCACGUUUUAUAUGCUUCGCAAUCGGGAUUGGUUUACAGCAUAUAAAGCAGUCUCUAAAGGUGUUGUGUUGAUAGAAAAUAACAUACCUUGGAAGAUAGCUGGUAUUGGAACAAUCAAAAUUAAGAUGUUUUAUGAGGUUUUGAGGACACUUAGUGAUGUGCUAUAUAUCCCAGACCUGAAGAGAAAUCUUAUUUCUUUAAAUAUUCUUGAUUCAAACGGAUAUAGGUACACUGGUGAAGGUGGAGUCAUGAAGGUUACUAAAGGCACUCUUUUUGUGAUGAAGGGACAGAGAAAAUCUGCAAAUUUAUAUGUCUUGCAAGGCUCUACUAUUACAGGUGAUGCAGCUAUUUUUACCUUCUCUCUAUCAGAAAGUGACAUUGCUAAACUUUGGCAUAUGCACCUGGGGCAUAUAAGUGAAAAUGGAAUGGCUGAACUAAGCAGAAGAGGACUUCUUGAUGGGAAGAGUAUUACCAAACUGGAGUUCUGUAAGCAUCGCAUUUUUGGGAAGCAGAAGAGUCAGAUUCACUAAAGACAUCCACUCAACUAAAGGCACACUUAAUUACAUUCAUUCUAAUCUCUGGGGUCCUUCUAGAGUACCUUCUAGAGGAGCUGUGAAUUAUUUGUUAACUAUUAUUGAUGACUAUUCCAAAAAUGUUUGGGUGUUCUUCCUGAAGUAAAAGAAUAAUGUUGCUUACUUUCAAGGAGUGAAAGAUUAUGAUUGAAAAGCAAACAGGGAAGCAGGUAAAACGCCUUCGAACUGAUAAUGGUUUAGAGUUUGGUUCUAAUAAAUUUAAUGCUCUAUGCAAGUCAGAAGGAAUUGUGAAGCACUUAACAGUUCGUCAUACUCCAUAGCAGAAUGGUGUGGCUGAAUGAAUAAAUAGGACUAUAAUAGAGAAGGUGCGUUGUAUGCUCUCUAAUGUUGGUUUACCCAAGUCUUUUUGGGCUGAAGCUACUUUCACAACUUGUCUUCUUAUUAACCGUUCUCCCUCAGUCGUGAUUGAUAAAAAGACUCCAUAAAAGGUAUAGUCUGGUACUCCUGCUAGUUAUUCUGAUUUGAGGAUAUUUGGAUGUUCUGCGUAUGCUCAUGUUAAUAAUGGAAAGUUGGAACCUAGAUCUGUCAAGUGCUUAUUUAUGGGUUAUAAGCCUAGUAUUAAAAGUUAUAAGUUUUAGUGUCCAUAAAGCAGAAAGGUUAUAAUUAGCAGGGAUGUUGAGUUUGAUGAAACUACCAUGCUUCGGACUCCCUCCAAAUCUAGUAUUUCACCUCCAGAUGAGCUUAGUGGAAUGAAUUAGCAAAAGUCAUUCACCCACGUUGAAUUGCAAAUUGGAUCAGAGUCUACACCAGUGCCCACUUCUUAGUCUAGCCUGGAGAUACGGAGUGGUACUAUUUCUUUUUCACCACCAGUGAUGCCAUAAUAUUCUAUUACUAAAGACAGGCCUAGAAGAGAUAUUAGACCUCCUCAGAAGUAUGCUAAAGCUGAUUUGGUUUCUUAUGCAUUGAAUAUAGCAGAAGGUAUUAAUUCCGGUGAAGAACCUUUUUUCUUACUUAGAGGUAGUUAGUUGUGAUGAUUUCGGCCGAUGGAUAAUUGCUAUGCAGGAAGUGAUGGAAUCACUUUAUAAGAAUGACACAUGGGAUUUGGUGAGAUUGCCUAAAUAUAAGAAAGUUGUCCAUUGCAAGUGGGUAUUCAAAAAGAAAGAAGGAACAUCGGGAUUUGAAGAUGCUAGGUACAAAGCAAGACUAGUUGCUAAAGGUUACAAUCAGGUUCCAGUGUUGACUUCAUAGAUAUGUUUUCUCUAGUUCUAAAGCAUAGUUCAAUUCGAGCCUUGCUUGGUAUUGUGGCCAUGCAUGAUCUUGAGCUUGAGCAGUUGGAUGUCAAAACUACAUUCUUACACGGACUUGAGAAGGAUGUCUAUAUGCAUUAACCAGAGGGUUUUGUAGUCUCAGGAAAGGAGGACUAUGUAUACUUGCUGAAAAAGUUUCUUUAUGGCUUAAAACUGUCUCCCAGGCAGUAGUAUAAGAGGUUUGACUCUUUUAUGAUCUCUCAUAUAUUUUAGAGUAGUAGUUAUGAUAGUUGUGUCUACUUUAAGGAGGUAAGUGAUAGUUCGUUUGUGUAUCUUCUUUUAUAUAUUGAUGAUAUAUUAUUGCAGCAAAGGAUAUAAGAGGGAUAAUAAAAGUCAAAGCCCAGCUCAAUAAGAAAUUUGAGAUGAAGGAUCUAGGAGCAGCAAAGAAGAUUCUUGGCAUAGAAAUUAUGAGUGAUAGAGAGAAGUUAUACUUGAGUCAGAAAAGGUAUAUUGAGAAAGUGUUUCACAGGUUCAAUAUGCAAAGUGCCAAGCCUGUAAGUACUCCAUUUGCAGCUCACUUCAAACUCUCGGCCACUUUAUCUCUAAAGACAGAUGAUGAGCGUGACUAUAUGUCUUGAGUUUCAUAAUCUAGUGCCGUCGGGUUUCUUAUGUAUGCAAUGGUGUGUUCCCGACCAGAUUUAUCUUAUGUCAUAAGUGUAGUUAGUAGAUACAUGACAAAUCCUGGCAAAGAACAUUGGAAAGCAGUUCAGUGGAUUUUCAGAUACUUGCACAGAUCUGCUGAUGUUUAUUUGCAGUUUGGGCGAUAUAGAGAUGGAGUAAUCGGAUAUGUUAAUUUUGAUUUUGUAGGAGAUCAUGAUAAAAGGAGGUCCCUUACAGGCUAUGUUUUCACCAUUGGUAGUUGUGCAAUUAGUUGGAAAGCUAUCUUACAGACUACGGUUGCUUUGUCAACUACUGAGGCAGAGUAUAUGGCUAUUACAGAGGCUUUCAAGGAAGCUAUUUGGUUAAAGGGUCUGUUCGGUAAACUUAGAAAAGACUUACAGAUUACUAUUGCAAGAGUCAGAGUGUUAUCUUUUUUACGAAAGAUCAGAUAUGUCAUGAGAGAACAAAGCACAUCGAUGUUCGGUAUCAUUUUGUGCGUGAAAUUAUUGAUCGUGGUGAUAUUGUGGUGAGCAAGAUUAGUACUCAUGAUAAUCUUGCUGAUAUAAUGACUAAGACACCAUUAAGUGCCAAGCUUGAGCAUUGCUUGGACUUGGUUAGUGCUAGCUGUUAAGAUAUGCCCUUAGGGGCUUUUGUGGAAGAGAGAGAGAGUUUGUCUUGAAAUGGAUUUGAGUUCUGAAUUAGAAUUCGUGUCAAGGUGGAUAUUGUUAGAGUUGUGACUCGAAUUUUAUUAAUCCAUCCUAGAAAAUUUCGCAGUGCAACCCAUGUUGAUGAUUUUUAAUGGGGUCUGUGGUGGUAGCAGAGGGAUCGGGCUGAUAGGCCCAAUAUGGACCUUUAUGUUUUUGGGCCUAGGAUUUAUUUGUAUACACAUAUUAUAUGAGUGAAUUUAGUGGGUUGUUUUGGGUAUUCAGAAAAUUCAGCCUUCUCCACAUUGUACUCUCUCUCCAUUAUAGUGAAACCUACUUUGCCUCUGCCCAUGGUUUUUCCCGCAAGGAUUUUCGCAUAAAUCUGUGUGUUAUUCUUAUUUUCUUUUACUUGUGGCUUUCUUACUCUGUCUGGAUCAUAACAGAUAUUACCAUCAUACCUUCUUUUGUUUCUUUACAAUAGAGAAAACACUUUAUAUUAACUAAAAGAUAUCUAGGCUGUGGACAAAGCGUUUAUUCAUUUUAUAAUUAUUACCAACAAACAUUGACACCAGUUGUGAUUGUUAUAGAUCUGCUUUCGUUGUGAGAAACCCAUAAAUCUCUAACUAGUUUUUACAUGAUUAAAUACUACAGUUUGAUUAGAUACAGGAUUAAGAAAACCUCUGACGAUAUUGGCCAUUAGAGUCAUCAUUCGAAACAGAGAGAUCAUAAGAAUUUGGUCUAAGUAAAUAAUUAUUCUCCAUAUAUUUUUGUUAAAGAUAUAAUUAUGUAAAUAAAGUGUGAUCACGAAAUUUAGCAUAAUAUAAGAUCAGAUAAAAGUUCUUGAUUCGAUUUUCACUUCCAGCUAUUACCAAAAAGGAUUUUACAUAAUGCUAAAGUUUGGUAGCGUAAUCAAUUACUCAUUUGAGGACUAGGGAUCAAUGAUCCUCUAGUAUGUUGUGGAACAAAGUGAGUAACUGAAAUUCUAGAAUUAAAUUUUGUUUGUCCAUUGAUUUGGAAAGAAGAAACUCUCCGCUUAUUGGGCUAAAUGCUUUUUACUUGCUAAAUAUUACGGCCUAAAUGUUAAACUAUUGGCUCUACUUGUUCGGAUGGCACAUUUUAGCGUGUGUGCCCGCGCGCACACACACACACACAUAUAUAUAUAGCUUGAGGUCUAUAAAUAAGUAAGAACUACACGCUUGGUUAUAUGAUUAAGCUUUUCUUAUUACAUAGGUGUAGCUUUUAGUUGCUAUAAUCCACUCCAUUUGUUAAAUCUGUUUCCUUCUUGAUUUUAACCCUUUUACGCUUCCUCCUUUGCAUGCCAUUUCUCACUUUUUUCUCUUGAAUUAACGACACACAAAUUCUGUAGCUAAAUGGUAUAAAAUUCGUUAGUGAUUAGUUAUAAGAAAAUCUUGUCAGCUACGAGCUAUUUGUUAUUUUUUAAUAUUUUUGGGUACACAGAAUUUGUAAUUUGACAGAAUAACUUCAGCACUAGUUCAAGUUUAAAACAAGAACACUAUGAAGUACACAACACCCUCAACACAAGACCUAAGUAAUCUUUCAAAGAAGUGUGUUUUAUUUUUCAAAAAUUAAGAUGAAACAGAAAUGGCCAAGUCCUCCGAAUUCACAGAGUGUCCUUAAGGAAAUAAUUCCUCUCAAGUACCCGAGGUUGUGAAAUUUUCCUCCCAGGAUAAAAUUGCUAAACAAACCAACUGUAGUGGUACCUCAAACAAUUGGAAUCUCUUUGAACUCACUCAACGAUUUGAUUGAUCACACGAAAUGUUUUGAAGACAAGAAGAGUUUGUAUAUUCAAAAAAAUUUUCGUACCUAAACCUGUGGAUAAAUGCAGGUUUAUAUAGCCAUCAAGUGUCCAUUUCAAAAGGUGGCAAUGGUUUAUCCAAAAAGUUGUACCCUUUGGAAGAGUCAUGUCUAUUCAUUCGAAACAUUGUGUCUUUUUUUGAACAGACACAACUAUCUGAACAGUCACUCCUUUUCCAAAAUAAUAUGUCUUUGCCCCAAAGGUUAUAUCCCUCCAUUUUCCAUUCAUACCAAUUGAACACAACAAUCCCUCACAUGAAUGGGGAAUGACUAUUCUUUGUAAAACUUUACGGAUAAGUAUGUGAUCAUCAAGCAAAGACUGAUUGCAUCUGGAUAAGUGGGUUUCCCUUUGAACUUUCCAUAGUGAACAUGCAUCGAAUGCACUCAGUCAAUCGAUAGAUUUGAUAUCUUUGAACUAUCGAGCUUUAAUGUACACCUAGACAACACAUGUCAUACAACCAACCUUUUACCAUUUAUGGUUCUCACAGUUUUGUUCGUUUCAGCCGUGAACACGUUCCGGUCUCAUGAGAGCUUAAAAAAUAGGCCUUUACUAACAUUCUCCUUGAAGUGGCUUCGACUUUGCCCUCACAUAGGUGAUUUAUAAACAUUCAAUCCUAUAGAUUAAAUUAUUUGGUCAAAUCUGCCAAUUUUAGAUAAUCAUUAAAAGACUUUUCACCUUAAGUCUUAUCCUUGUUUACUAAACAUUAUUUGUAUCAUGAGAAUGAGUUGGUAUAUUGACAAUGUGGAACCUGUCAGACACAACUUUGUUUGAUCAUUUUUAACCUAGCUCUUGGGAUCUCCAGUCUGCUAGGUAGAGUUACCGCCAUGCUGACUUAUCCUAGGCCUUAAACCCAUUCCUUUGGAUGUCCUCUCAACUCCUUCUCUAGACAGGCCUUUUAUAAGUGGAUCCGACACAUUAUCCUUUGACUUUACAUAGUCAAUAGUGAUAAUUUCACUAGAGAGAAGUUCUUUAAUGGUAUUAUGUCUGUCUUAUGUGAUGAGAUUUACCGUUGUACAUCAUGCUCUCUGCCCUACUAUUGCCGUUUGGCUAUCGCAAUGUGUACAACUGGUGCCACUAGUUUGAGCCAAUAAGAAAUAUCUUCCAAGAAAUUUUGGAGCCAUUCUGCUUUUUCACCGACUUUAUCUAAUAUGAUAAAUUAUGAUUUCAUUGUAGAGCGAGCAAUACAUAUUUGUUUAGAUGAUUUCCAUGAGACCUCUCCUCCACGGACUGUAAAUACAUAUCCACUCGUGGAUUUUACUUCAUUCGAUUCAGUGAUUCAAUUUGUAUCACUAUAUCCUUCAAGUACCGCGGGAUAUUUAUUAUAAUGCAAAGCAUAGUCUUGAGUGUAUUUAAGAUACCCCAAAACUAUUUUCAUUGCCAUCCAAUGAGUUUUGUUGGGAUUACUCGUGUACCAACUCAACUUUCUAAUAGCGCAUGCAAUGUCUGAUCGUGUAUAAUUCAUUAUAUACAUUAAACAUCCCAAUACUCUUGCGUACUCCAACUGUGAGUCACUUUCACCCUCAUUCUUUUGAAGUGUGAAGCUCAUGUACAAUAGAGUCUUGGCAAUAUCAAAUUCCAAAUACUUGAAUUUGUCAAGUACCUUUUCUACAUAAUGAGACUGUGACAAUGCUAACCCUUGUGGAGUUCUAUGGAUUCUUAUUCCCAUGAUCACAUCCGCAACUCCAAGGUAUUUCAUAUUAAACAUGCUCUCAAGCAUUCGUUUCGUAGCAUUUAUGUUCGAAAUGUCUCUACUGAUUAUCAACAUAUCAUCCACAUACAAAAAAAUAAUGACUUGGUGAUUUCGAGUGUCUUUAAUGUAAACACAUUUAUCAUAUUCAUCUUAAACCUGUUUGUCAACCUGGUUUGGUCAAACUUCACAUGCCAUUGUUUAUGUGCUUAUUUUAGUCCAUGAAGUGACUUAACAAGUUUACACACCUUAUUUUUUUUUCUGAAACCACAAAACCCUCAGGAUGUUCCAUGUAAAUUUCUUCCUCCAAUUCUCCAUUUAGGAAUGUUGUUUUCAUAUUCAUUUGAUGGAUUUCAAGACCAUAUACUGCCGCUAAGACAAUUAACAUCCCAAUUAAUGUUAUCCUCGUUACUGGUAAGUAUGUAUCAAAGUAAUCAAGGCCUUCCUUUUGUUUAAAGCCUUUUACAACAAGUUUUGUCUUGUAUUUGUCAAUAGUACAAUCAACUUUCAUUUUUCUUUUGAAGAUCCAUUUAGAACCUAACGGUUUAUUUCCCGGAGUAAGAUCAACCAACUCUCAUGCAUGGUUGCUUAAGAUUGAAUCAAUCUCACUAUUGACUGCCUUUUUCCAAAAAGAUGAGUCCGAAGACGCCAUCCCUUCCUUAAAUAUUUGAGGCUCAUUUUCUAAGAGAAAUGUUACAAAAUAUGAUCCAAACGAAGUUGAUGUUCUUUGACGUGUACUACGUCUUGGAUUCACAUCAUUAUGUACAUCCUCACUUGGUUCAUCUCGGAGUCGUUUAGACUCUCCACUAGACUAUUCAUGUCUAAUUUUAUAUGGAUAAAUGUAUUCAAAGAAUUUAGCAUUAUCUGAUUCAAUUACCGUGUUUUCAUUAAUAUCUGGAUGUUUGGAUUUAUGAACCAAAAACGAAUAUACUUUACUACUUUUAUCAUAUCCUAUGAACACACAAUCCACCAUAUUAGGUCCUAUCCUUACUCUUUUAGGCAUAGGAACUUGAACCUUCGCUAGACACACCCACACUUUGAAAUAUUUCAAGUUGGGUUUCCUUUCUUUCUAUUUUUCAUAUGGAAUUGAUUAUGUCUUACUAUGGGGCACGCUAUUGAGUAUUCGGUUAUCCGUAAGGAUAGCUUCCCCCCACAAGUUUUGCGGUAAACCUGAACUAAUUAAUAAGGCAUUGAUCAUUUUCUUCAAAGUUCAAUUUUUCCUUUCCGCAAUUUUAUUAGAUUGAGAUAAAUACGAGGCUGUAGUUUGAUGGAUAAUUCUAUUCUCAACACAUAUUUGUGCAAGAGAUUCAUAUUCUCCACUCCUAUCACUUCUUAUCAUUUUGAUCUUUUUCUUUAACUGAUUUUCGACUUCAGUUUUAUAUUGCCUAAAUGCAUCUAUUGCUUCAUCCUUACUAUUUAACAAAUAGACAUAACAGUAUCUAGUGAAAUCAUCAAUAAAAGUUAUAAAAUACUUUUUUUCUCCACGAGACGGUGUUGACUUUAUAUCACAAUGUUAGUGUAUAUUAAGUUUAAGGGAUUGGAAUUCCUUUCAAUGGACUUAUAUGGAUGCUUAGCAUACUUUGAUUCCACACACGUUUGACACUUUGAUUUAUUGCAUUCAAAGUUUGUCAAAACUUUUAAGUUAAUCAGUUUUCGCAAAGUUUUAUAAUUGACAUGUCCUAAACGUUCAUGCCACAAUUCAUUAGACUCAACGAGUAAGAAGAAGCAGAACUUUUAUUGAUUUCAAUAGUCAUUACAUUCAUUUUAUAUAGGCCCUCAAUGAGAUAGCCUUUUCCUAUACACUUCUAAUUUGCUAAUUAUAAUUUUUUCAAAAAAUAGUUACAUAUUUGAAUCCGUUUUGUCUAGAAGUGAUACAGAAAUUAAGUUCUUUCUUAACUCUGGUACAUACAGGACAUUUUUGAGUGUCAACAAUUUGCUUGAAGUCAUUUUCAAGCAUACUUUUCCUGUUCCUUCUACUUUUACAGUAGCGCAGUUAGCCAUGAAGAUAUUUUUUUCUCCUUGAGCUGGUGUGAACGUUGAAAACAACUCCUUGUUAGCACAAACAUGGCAGGUGGCACCAGAAUCCAUCCAGCAUUCGUGAGUAUUCCCCAUCAAGUUACAUUCGGACAGUAUAGUACACAGAUCGUCCACUUUUUUCUUGGACUCAACAACAUUUGCUUGGUCUUUAUUCUUUCCUUUCUUUAGGGCACGACAAUCUGUGGACUUGUAUCCAACCUUGCCACAGUUAAAGCAUUUUCCCUUGAAUUUCUUUUUAGGUUGAUUGUUUUCAUGUCCUACUUUCUUGUGCUUUUUGGAGUUGUGGUCGUCUUCUAUAAUAUUUGCUCCAUUCAUUGUAGAAUAUCCUCUUGACCUUUUUUUGUAGCCUUAUUUCUUCUUCAAUGCAUAAUAUGAAGAUUAGAUCUUCGACAGACAUCUCCUUACAUUUGUGUUUCAAAUAGUUCUUAAAGUACUUCCACAUAGGUGGUAGCUUCUCUAUUAUUGCUGCUACUUAAAAUGUUUCAUUCACGAUAAAACCUACAAUUAAGUUUAUGUGAAUACUAAGAACAUUUUUAAACUGUUCAACAAAGGUAUUUUUCAAAAACAUACCUCCGCAAGGAGAUCAUGGAUGAUCACUUGCAGUUCUUGCACUUAGGAGACAACAGACUUGCUGUUUAUCAUUUUAUAUUUUAGGAAUCUUGCAAAGAAGAACUUUUUAGUUCCUGCAUCCUCUGUCUUGUACCUUUGUUCCAGCGCUCCCCACAACUCUUUUGCUCUCUUUGUUACACUAUACACAUUGUAGAGAUCAUCUUGGAGACCACUCAAGAUGUAGUUCCUGCAAAGGAAAUCGGAGUGUUUCCAAGCCUCCACAAUCACAAAUCGCUCUUGCUCAGAGGUUUCCUCAGGCACCUCUAGAACUUCCUCAAAUGUGAACCUUUGAAGGUAAAGAGUUGUAAGGUAGAAAAUAUUUUCUGCUGCUACCUUUUGAAGUCAAUACUCGCAAACUUUUUGGGUUUCUCCACUGGUGCCAUUACUGGCAGAGUAUUCGUACGACUUAUUGUGGCAAUACUAGUUGUUUUCACCAUCGUUGCCCCUUCAUGCACUUGACUAUCCGUAGUCAUUUUCCUGUCGCAACAAGACAGUAACUUUAGUAUAUCAAAAUACUAUUAAUAAAGUUGUAGCAACUUUAAACACCUCUUAUUUCUAGUUUAACAAUGAAGUUUUUAUGACUUUCAAUCGUCAACCGAGUGAUCUUUAACUUGUGAUGAAGAUUUUAUGUCUUCAAAUCACUAGUUAAGUUCAAACGGAGUAGAAAGCUUAAAUCUUUAAUCUCCAGAAACCAAGCUAUACAGAUUACGAAAAUAAAAAAAACUUUAGUGAAAAGAAAAUUUCACCAAACAAGCAAAAAAAAAAAUUUCAAAGGAGUUAUUUUCUUAAGAUUGUUAUUUUUUCAAUGUUUUCGGGUACACAGAAUCUGUAAUUUAACAGAAUAACUUCAACACUAGUUCAGGUUUAAAACAAGAAAGCUAUGAAGUACAACAACGCCAUCAACAUAAGAUCAAAGUAAUCUUUCAAAGAAGUGUGUUUUAUUUUUCAGAAAUUAAGAUGAAACAGAAAUGGCCAAGUCCUCCGAAUUCACAGAGUGUCCUUAAGAAAAUAAUUCCCCUCAAGUACCCGAGGCUGCGGAAUUUUUCUCCCAAGAUAAAAUGUCAAUCAAACCAACUGUAAUGGUACCUCAAACAAUUGGAAUAUCUUUGAACUCACUCAACGAUUUGAUUGAUCACACGGAAUUUUUUGAAGACGAGAAGAGUUUGUAUAUUCAGAAAAAUUUUCGUACCUAAACCUGUGGAUAAAUGCAGGUUUAUAUAGCCAUCAAGUGCCCCUUCCAAAAGGUGGCAAUGGUUCAUCCGCAAAGGUGUAUCCUUUGAAAGAGUCAUGUCUAUUCAUUCGAAACAUUGUGUCUUUUUUUAUCAAACACAACUAUCCGAACAGUCACUUCUUUUCCAAAAUAAUAAGUCUUUGUUGUGUCCCUCCAUUUUCCAUUCACACCAAUUGAAACCAACACUAUUUAGCAAAGUAAAUAUGUGAUUGAUGUAGAUGAUAACAUCCUUGUACAGAGUAAGGAAACUUACCAAGAAAUAGUUGAGAAAGACGUGGAGAAUGGUGAGGAUAUAGAACAAGAAUAUGAGUACCAUCCACUUUUAUCAUCAGCAUAGUUAUUGAAUUAGAAUUGUGAUGAAGUCAGAAUGAAACUAUAUAUUUUUCAACUUCAAGUGAAAAAAUUGUUCUUUUGAUACAAUUGGAUAAUUGUGGAGCUUUAAUAAUGAAAAUGGCUUCUCUCGUGGAACAUAACUUUCUUGACAUCCUGUUGAUGGGUUGAGUCCGACAAGGGGUGUCAAAGGGAUAGGUCAUGCAGAAUCAUAAUGAAUUAAAAUAUGCUGAGUUAGUAAGUAAUUCGCCUCUUAGAUACCCCUAUUCGAACUCGAAUUUUUGGCCUAUCAAAAAAGCUAUUUUCCACGAGAGAACCAUGAAAAUUGGAUAAUGAAAAGUUAUUUUCAAGAAAGUUGUUUUGGUACAAUUUGAUAAUUGGGGAACUUAAUGAAUGAAGAUUACUUCUUUAGGGAAAAAUCAUUUUCUUGACAUCCUGCUGACGGACCCAAUAAAAUUAUUUUUUCUUUAUUAUAUUUUUGAAAUAUAUUUUGACAAAUUUUCUAAUGAGUCAGUUUAGCUACGUAUCAGCUCAACUGGUGCUGAAAUGAGUUGCAUAAAACGAGCUGAACUAAUAUGACCCAGCCAAACUAAAACGGAUUAGAGGAGUCAUAUUUUCAUGGACAAAUUGUCACCUUAGAUCCGAUUAACAAAUUCAAGAAUCUUAAUGGUAUGUUCGCUUUGAAUUUGAUUCAGGUAAUUCAAGAACAGUUUGGUGCAAUAAUUGUGUGAAAUCAAUCAAUUACAAUACUUUGAUAACAAAAUGUGAGCUUUAAUUAAUCUCAUGCAACAUUGGUUUUUCUUCCUCAUUUAUGAUUCACUCUAAUGUAACUGGGAGGUCACAUGUUCAAGCCAUGGAAAUAACCUCUUGUACGAAAGCAAAGUAAGACUGCAUACAAUAAACCCUUGUGGUUCCGCUCUUCACCAAAUCUUGUGCCUAGUAAAAGUUUUAAUGUACUGGGCUGCCCAUUUAUGAUUCACUCUAAAUGCUUCUGUUUUCCUUCACAUUCUAGAUGUUGUUCCAACUAGGGCUGUUAAGUGGGCUGGAACGGGUCAAAAUAGAACCGGCCCGUCGAGUUUAUUCGGUUUGUGGGCCGGUCCGGAUUCAGGCCUGGUUAAAUGGGUCGGUUCAGUUUCGGACCAAACAGUAAUUUUUUUAAAAACAACCCUAAACCGGCCCACUUAACCUAAUCCGGUCCAACCCACCUAAACCCAAUCAAAACCAAUCCAAAAUCCGGUCAAAAUCGGUCAAAACUUAAAAAUAAUUUAAAGUUUUCUCCAAUAUACACUAUAUAUAUCCACUUAUAUACAUUUUAAAUACGUUAAACAAUAUAUAUACACUAUAUAUAUAGUAUAUAGUACAUUAGAAUUUAAAAAUAUAUACACAUAUACACAAUUACACAUGUAAUCGCGUAUACGAUGAUACGUUAGUUAUAUAUACUACUCUAAAUAAAACAUAUGUUACAAGAUAUACACUACAAUAUAAUGAUAUAUAUACUAAUUUAUAAAAUAUAUACACAUGUAUACGUUUAAUAUAUACUACUUUAGAGUCUGUAGAAUAUAUAUACACAUAUAUACGUACCAUUCAAUAUAUAUGUACUACUUUAAAUAAAACAUAUACUACAAUAUAUGUACUACAAUAUACACACACACUAAAAAUAUAGUUAUAUACUAAUUUAUAAAAUACAUACACGUGUAUAUGCUAAAUAUAUACUACUUUAGAGUCUAUAGAAGAUAUAUACACAUAUAUACGUACCAUUCAAUAUAUAUGUACUACUUUAAAUAAAAUAUGCUACAAUAUAUAUUGUACAAUAUAAUGAUAUAUGUACUAAUUUAUAAAAUAUAUACACAUGUAUACGUUAAAUAUACACUACUUUAGAGUCUAUAGAAAAUAUAUACACAUAUAUACAUAUCAUUUAAUAUAUAUGUACUACUUUAAAUAAAAUAUACUACAAUAUAUAUACUACAAUAUAUACACACACACUAUAUAUAGUUAUAUACUAAUUUAUAAAACAUAUACACAUGUAUACGUUAAAUAUAUACUACUGUAGAGUCUAUAUUCUAUAUAUACACAUAUAUACGUACAAUUCAGUAUAUGUACUACUCUAGAUAAAACAUAUACUAGAAGAUAUAUAAUACAAUAUAAUGAUAUGUAAAUGUAUAAAACAUAAACAUGUGUAUACGUUAAAUAUAUACUACUUUACUAUAGAGUCUGUAGAAGAUAUAUACACAUAUAUAUGUACCAUUCAAUAUAUAUGUACUACUUUAAAUAAAACAUACACUGCGAUAUAUAUACUACAUUAUAUAUACACACUAUAUAUAUGUAGUUAUAUAUUAAUUUAAAAAAAUAUAUACACAUGUGUACGUUAAAUAUACACUCUUUUGGAGUCUAUAUUCUAUAUAUACGCAUAUAUAUGUACCAUUCAACAUAUGUACUACUUUAAAAAAUAUGCUACAAGAUAUAUACUAUAAUAUAAUGAUAUAUAUACUAAUUUAGAAAACAUAUACAUAUGUAUACAUUAAAUAUAUACUACUUUAAGUCUAUAGAAAAUAUAUACACAUAUAUAUGUACCAUUCAAUAUAUGUACUACUUUAAAAAAUAUUCUACUUGAUAUAAUAAAUUAAUAAUAUUUGAUUGUAAAUUAGUAAUAUAUUAAAACUAAGUAUUUAAUUUAAACUAGAAAUUCAAUUUAAAUCAUUAAAUGAAAAAAAUUACAAAGUAAAAACUAAGGAGUGAAUGAAUAAUUGAACGUUGAAUUUUAUUGAUUGCAAAAUUAUCCAAAAUUUAUAAUUUACAUGAAUGAAAAAUCUAUAAAUUUUGCAUCAUUUUUUCCAACUCAUUCAUGUUAAUAUUAACGGGAACUUGCAUAGGAUAGUCAAAGUCAAUGGGGGCAAAACCAUGCAUUGGACUUGAUUUUGCUGAGUUCUCCCGUGAAGUCAAAAUUUCAUCAAGUCUUUGGUCGUCGUUAGGCUCCGCCUCCAUUCCUUGAUUUCUUUGUUCCGCUCUAAUCCAAUCUCUAAGGCAAACUAGAACAUUCAUUGCAUUGCUUCCCAAUGAGUAUCGGUUGUCUCCAAGCUACUGUCGUUCCUGACUUAAAGCGCUCUCUGAUGCAACGGUUGACAUUGAAACAUUCAAUAUAUCUCUACUUAAUCUUGAAACCACAGGAUAUUGUGUUUCAUUAUUCCUCCACCAAUCCAACCCGUUGAUCCGUCGUCUGCGAUCCUCUAUCGGUGUUCGAAGAUAACACUUAAGCUCUUCUCGAUAAGUUGUCGUGUAAGCUCCCGCCUCAACACUGUUUCAGCAAUUUAAAUCAAAAAGGUAAUCUGAAAAACCACUAUGUCCCGGCCUUUUAGAAGAUGAUAGUUCAUCGGUAGGAUGAGGAGAGACAGUUGGAGUGAUAUUUGUUGGUACAGCUAAAUCAAGUAAAUUAGCAUAAUGGUUAUAUAAUUUAUCUAUGUAAGCGUUCGCAUCAGCGAUAGCCGUCCACAAAUCAGGUUGUUCUUGUUCUUUAUCAUCAGAAUCAUUGUUAGUAUUUAUCUCUAAGUUAACAUAAAUAAGAGUACUAAAGUGGCACAUAGUUGUAUAUUUCAUACACGGAUUUAGCAUGGCACCAAUCAAGUAAAUAGGGGGAAUCAAAAAGAAAUAUUUUUUAAAUUUAGCAAAAAUAACACCAACAGCUUCUUUGUAACCUUCUUUAUUUUUAUAUUCUUUGAGCAAAUCAGAAAUAUCAGCUAUAUAUGUCAAAAUACUACAAACAGUAGGAUAAUAAGCACCGAAAAAUUCAACCGUAGCUAUAUAAAUUUUUUUAAAAAACUUAACAAGAUCAUCAAUUACAACCAAAUCAAAAUCAUGUAGCAUACAGUCAGUCGAAUCAGCAAAUAAACCACAAUGUUGGUUAAAUGUUAGUGCAAUAGGAACUCUAUAUUUAUGAAAAGUUUUUAAAAAAUCAUACGUAGCAUUUCAUCUAGUAUCACAUUCCUCAGGCAUCAAUAUCGGUGCAAAUCCAUUUUGUUCACAUUUAAGUUUAAAUUCUCUAAUUCUUUUUCUUCGAUUAUUUCUUUGAAUAAAACCAACAACAAGACAGAUUUUUUCAAUGUAAAGCUAAAAAACUCAAGACCAUCUCUUACAAUUAAAUUAUAUAUAUGAUAAGCACACUUAACAUGAAAUAUUUCAGGUAACGGCGGAGAUAGCUUAGAUUUUAACUUUGUAAUAGUAGUUUUGUUAUUAGAAGCAUUAUCAAAAGCAAUACAUAAAAUUUAAUUUUCAAUACCAUAAAAUUCUGCAACUUUAGCAAUCGAAUAAACAAUAAAAUCUCCAGUAUGUUUACGAUCUUCAUCAUACAAAAAAGCUAGAAUACGUUUUUACAUAACAAAAUUACUAUCUAUCCAGUGACAAGUAAUGGUUAAAUAAUUAUUUUUAUUAACAACACGACCAAGACCAGAAGUUAGAGACAUUCAACAUUGAAUAUUUUUUAACAAUGUUGAUAAAUAAAAAUAAUAUUGUGAAUGAAUGCUAAAAAUAUCGACCCGACAAGUACUUCUAGGAAUAUCAUUAAAUAUAAGAUUAUAAAUUGCUUGAAUAUAAUGAAUAAAAGUAUCAGAAGAAGGAAAACUAAAAGACAAAUAAUCCAUAGCUACCAUUUUUGUUAUUUCUUCCCGGUCCCUCAAUUUAUUAUAUUCUUCAUUACCUGAUCGGUUACUGGGUCCAUUCUAGUUUGUGUUGGUCCACCAACAUCCGCAUCACCUUUUGUAAUAUUUAACUCUCUUAUAUGUCUUAUUAAUGUACCUGUACCCCCUUGUUUGCCUCCUCUUUUAUGCUUAUAUAUUUUUUGACAAAUAUUGCAUUGCAUCUCAGUAUCGGAUAUACGUGUAAAAAAUUUUCAUGCAAUACUAGUUGUUUUACGAUCUCCUGGGGCAGGGGGAGGACGGGGAGGGCGAUUAAUCAAUUCAGACCUAAGGUUAGCAUUUUCUACUGUGGGUGUCUCACCAAUAUUUUCAUCAUCUUCAUCUAAAUCAACCGCAUCUACUUCAUUUUCUUCUUCUAUACUGUAAUUUUUCUGAGCUUCUACAUAAUCCAUAUCGUGAGCACCUACACUUAUUUCUUCCUCAAAAGGUUAAUUAAGCGGUACCUGAGGCGGGGGCACACGGGUACAUCUACUACUUGAAGUACCUCGACCGCUAGUAAUUCGCUUUUUACUACCGCUUUCGAGUCAAUUUUUUUUUACACUUUUAGUGGUGAGGUUUCUUAAUUUAUCCAUAAUAUAAAUUAAACUAAAAACAUUCAAAAUACAUAAAUAUAAUAAAAUAAAAUAUUCAACAAUUAAUACACUAAUUAAAAAUUAAAAGUAAGAGAUGGAACGAUAAUACCAAAUUUUAGAAGUAUCCGAAGGUUGGGACUUUAGAAACUUUCACUCGUACUUUGUAAUUGCAAAAUUAAAAAAUUAAAGUGAACACUUUAGGAAAUAUAUAGAAUAUUUGAGAAUUGAGAAUUGAAAGAGAAUGAGAUUUGAAAGAAUGAAAAAUUGUGUGGAAAAUGAUUUGAAAGUGUAGAGUAUUUAUAGGAAUUUUUUUGGGUUUAAAAAAAUAUUUUAAAUGAACUUUUUUUCUUUUAAUUAAAGUGACCAUAUAACCGUUUUUGGGCUCCCAAUGGUCAUAUAGUCGUUGGGCCCCAACGGCUAUAAUGGCCCAACAGACCAUUUUUGCAAAAUUUGAUUUUAAAAAAAAAAAAGUUAUCCGAGUCGAUUAACCUGCGGGCCUGGACCGAUUUUGGUUCUGACCGAAUUAACCAAGCUCAAAAAAAAUUGACCCAACUCAAAAUUCAGUACCCUACAGCCCGUGAAAUGAUCGGGCCGAAUUUGUUUAGUGGGCCGGAUCAAUUCGACCCGUUUGACAGGUUUAGUACCAACUGUGGGAAAGUCCCGUCAAGAUAAAUGUCAGGUUAUCAUACGUCAGGUUUGUAUUUAUGCAAUUCUGAAUUUAUUCAAAUCAUACAUCUCCCUCUGUUUCAACUGAUUAUUUUUUUAUUCUGUUUCAAAAAGAAUAAUAUUUUUUCAUAUUUAGCAAAAUUUUAACUUCAAACUAAUCUUUUUUACACUUAAUGAAACGAUUAGAAACAGAGGAAAUAACAAUUUGAUCUAUCCACAUUAUUCCCGCAUAUUCAACUUAGACUAAUUAAAAACGUAAAGUUAGAAGCAACUAGAUAUGGUUAGGGAAGCAUAGCCUAAAUUUGCAGCAGCAAAAUAAACUUUACACAAAAAACGUAAAUAAUGGUUGGAAAUUUUAAAAAUGGCCAAUGCUUUUGUGCUUUUAAAAAAAUAGAUAGAUGUAGAUUUAAAUACUCACACUAUUAGCAUCAGUUGAAAUGCAGGUUUUCAGCAAGUUUUAGCUUUUCUUGUUGUUUAUAGACUAGUAUUUUCUAUGUCACUUAUGAAAGUGUUAACAAUUGGAUUUGUUAAAAUUGCAGGUGAUAUCCGUGAAUACAAAGGAAAAUGGAAAUGUGGUAAAUGCACGCGGUGAUAUCCUUGUGCAGAGCAUGAAAGCUGAUCCUGAAACACAGGCAAUCUAUGAAGUAGCAGUUGAAAAUACAGCGCGGAUGCAUAUCUCAAGUUGAUGAUUAUAGUGACUAUUGAAAUAAAAUAUGUUAAUUUGUGAUCAAUUGAGAUUGCAACAAAGUUUUCAAUUGAGAAAAGUGUCACUGGGAUCAUUUAGUUGUUAUUAUAUACUAGUAGACCUUAUGAUUUAUUUAUUUUUUGGGGGGAG